UUAUUAUUAUUUCAAUMAAUAUCUUAUCAGAGAGCACACAAUGUUUCAAUGUGUCACUGUUUGAUUAAAGGUCAGUACCCUGUCUAGCCUGCCAGAAGAUUGAGAGGGUGAAGACUGUGCCGCCGGAGUUGAAGCCCAUCAGUUGUUUCACCAUGGCACAGGAUAGGAAAGUGUCCUAAUUAAAAUGUUGUAAUGGUUUAUUUAUUUGACGACAUUAACGUUCAAUAUUAUAGAAUGUGUGUGUGUGUGUCAGUAUCCUUACAAAUAUGAAAAUCUACAUACUGUAUGACACAGAUACGGGCUGGAACAAGGUACAGAUGUUAUAUGUUAUAUUCACCAAUGGUUUGUUUUAUUUAUUUUUUACAAUUCGUUUUUGUUUUUCCAUGGUACGUAAUCAGACAUAUUUCAAUAUCUUAGAUUGUCAAUAGAUGACAUUUUCCUACCCCCUCCUCCAGGUUUGGUGAAUGGACCAACCAUACCCUCAAAACUGCUGUGGGAAAAUCCCUUGAUACCAGGAAGUGUGGGAGAACAACCUGAAGGUAUUCUCUUUGCACACAACAGCAGCAUCUAGGCCGAGUACGGACGGGAACCGCAGCUGUUGACUGAGGCAAACAAUACAAUUGUUUAUACAAUUAUUGCAUAUACUGUAGUCUUAUAAAUUUGUGAUUMACUUAUUGUUGUUGUUAGUCUAUUGCUGUUUUUGUAUAAUGUACAUUCAGAUUCCUGAAACCCCACCUGAUGUGAUGGAAGUUGUCGAACCAGAUCACAGUGCUUUCGAGGACCAACUUCAGGCACGGACUGAGAAGGAUGUGGAGGUUUUUGACCAGUUGAGACUGAACAUGGACAAGGCGCAGGAGAAACAGAAGGAGAGCUACCGGAGCAGAAUCAAGAAGGGGAGCAAGUGCUACGACAUCCGGGCGAAUUACUUGGUUUGAAGGAAGGAUGAAAGGAAGGGUUACCUCGGUGGCCAACAAUCUUCUCCAGUUGGAGCAGUGGGACGGUCGACCACUGGAAACACUGACGCCAUACACUUCAGUGAAGCCCAAUAGACAAAGCAUGUUAAGCUUUGGUUGACAUUUGAGAAAGCAAGAAAUGGUAGUUAUGCUAAGCUUAUAAAAAUGUACCUCUGCAAUUUACCUCUCCAAAUUACUUUAGGAUCAUCGACUGUCCGAGACCCCCAGGAGGUAUCCCGUCCACCAGAACCAGUGAGUUCGGAUCAGUCUGAUUCUCUGUGCUCUGAGUCAGAGAGGAACCAGCUUGAGGUAAGCUAUACCAAAACUGUUGAAAAGUACAUAUCUCCCAUUUAUAACAGUGCACUAAUCCAUUACAUUAUCUCACAGCAAAGUGUAACCUGUGUGUUUGCUUGUUUACAUCUCUG